rnacentral:rRNA from 1 species
AUUGAACGCUGGCGGCAGGCCUAACACAUGCAAGUCGAACGAGUGGCGGACGGGUGAGUAAUGUCUGGGCAACUGCCUGAUGGAGGGGGAUAACUACUGGAAACGGUAGCUAAUACCGCAUACCAUCGGAUGUGCCCAGAGUGGAUUAGCUAGGAGGUGGGGGAACGGCUCACCUAGGCGACGAUCCCUAGCUGGUCUGAGAGGAAGACCAGCCACACUGGAACUGAGACCGGGUCCAGACUCCUACGGGAGGCAGCAGUGGUGAAUAUUGCACAAUGGGCGCAAGCCUGAUGCAGCCAUGCCGCGUGUAUGAAGAAGGCCUUCGGGUUGUAAAGUACUUUCAGCGGGGAGGCGUUACCCGCAGAAGAAGCACCGGCUAACUCCGUGCCAGCAGCCGCGGUAAUAC